UACAGGGGGGGCAAGCGUUGUUCGGAAUUACUGGGCGUAAAGGGCCAGUAGGCGGCCAACUAAGUCCGACGUGAAAUCCCCAGGCUUAACCUGGGAACUGCGUCGGAUACUGGAUGGCUUGAAUUCGGGAGAGGGAUGCAGAAUUCCAGGUGUAGCGGUGAGAUGCGUAGAUAUCUGGAGGAAUACCGGUGGCGAAGGCGGCAUCCUGGACCGACAUUGACGCUGAAUGGCGAAAGCUAGGGGAGCAAACGGG
rnacentral:rRNA from 1 species